GACGAACGCUGGCGGCGUGCCUAAUACAUGCAAGUAGAACGCUGAAGGAGGAGCUUGCUUCUCUGGAUGAGUUGCGAACGGGUGAGUAACGCGUAGGUAACCUGCCUGGUAGCGGGGGAUAACUAUUGGAAACGAUAGCUAAUACCGCAUAAUAUUUACUAUUGCAUGAUAGUCAGUUGAAAGGUGCAACUGCACCACUACCAGAUGGACCUUCGUUGUAUUAGCUAGUUGGUGGGGUAACGGCUCACCAAGGAGACGAUACAUAGCCGACCUGGGAAGGGGAUCCGCCACCACUGGAACGAGACACCGCCCAGAAUUCCACGGGAGGCAGCAGGAGGGAAACCUCGGGAAUGGACGGAAGGCUGAACGGGGAACGGCGGCGGAGGGAAGAAGGUUUUCGGAUCGGAAAGCUUCUUUGUAAGAGAAGAACGAGUGUGAGAGUGGAAAGCGCACACUGUGACGGUAUCUAACCAGAAAGGGACGGCUAACUACGUG
rnacentral:rRNA from 1 species